AGCAUGCAAGUCGAACGAUGAACCUCACUUGUGGGGGGAUUAGUGGCGAACGGGUGAGUAACACGUGAGUAACCUGCCCUUGACUCUGGGAUAAGCCUGGGAAACUGGGUCUAAUACCGGAUAUGACCUUCCAUCGCAUGGUGGUUGGUGGAAAGCUUUUGUGGUUUUGGAUGGACUCGCGGCCUAUCAGCUUGUUGGUGGGGUAAUGGCCUACCAAGGCGACGACGGGUAGCCGGCCUGAGAGGGUGACCGGCCACACUGGGACUGAGACACGGCCCAGACUCCUACGGGAGGCAGCAGUGGGGAAUAUUGCACAAUGGGCGCAAGCCUGAUGCAGCGACGCCGCGUGAGGGAUGACGGCCUUCGGGUUGUAAACCUCUUUCAGUAGGGAAGAAGCGAGAGUGACGGUACCUGCAGAAGAAGCGCCGGCUAACUACGUGCCAGCAGCCGCGGUAAUACGUAGGGCGCAAGCGUUAUCCGGAAUUAUUGGGCGUAAAGAGCUCGUAGGCGGUUUGUCGCGUCUGCCGUGAAAGUCCGGGGCUCAACUCCGGAUCUGCGGUGGGUACGGGCAGACUAGAGUGAUGUAGGGGAGACUGGAAUUCCUGGUGUAGCGGUGAAAUGCGCAGAUAUCAGGAGGAACACCGAUGGCGAAGGCAGGUCUCUGGGCAUUAACUGACGCUGAGGAGCGAAAGCAUGGGGAGCGAACAGGAUUAGAUACCCUGGUAGUCCAUGCCGUAAACGUUGGGCACUAGGUGUGUGGGACAUUCCACGUUUUCCGCGCCGUAGCUAACGCAUUAAGUGCCCCGCCUGGGGAGUACGGCCGCAAGGCUAUACUCAAGGGAAUUGACGGGGGCCGCACAAACUGCGGAGC
rnacentral:rRNA from 1 species